CAAUAGCGUAUAUUAAAGUUGUUGCAGUUAAAAAGCUCGUAGUUGAAUGUUGGUGUCGAACGAGCGGUCAGCUUCGGCUGUACUGCUCUCUCGACUCCUUCCUUCUGUGGACUACGUCGCACUUUACUGUGUGGCGCUAGGACGCAGAUCGUUUACUGUGAAAAAAUUAGAGUGUUCAAAGCAGGCCGUACGCUUGAAUACAUUAGCAUGGAAUAAUGGAAUAGGACGUCGGGCCUAUUUUGUUGGUUCUAGGACCGUCGUAAUGAUUAAUAGGGACAGUUGGGGCCGUUUAUAUUCCGUAGUCAGAGGUGAAAUUCUUGGAUUUACGGAAGAUAAACUACUGCGAAAGCAUUCGGCAAGGAUGUUUUCGUUA
rnacentral:rRNA from 1 species